UAGAGCAAAAAAAAGAAAGGGGGUUCGGCCAAGUGAGGAAGAGAGAAAAAAAAUUGUAGCCCAUCAACCUUUGAUCCAAAAAUCUUAAUUUUCUAGUAUUCUUACUAAGUUCAAGACCCUCUUCAACGUGGUAUAAUUUUUUAGGCAAGAAAAUGCCUUUUGUGGCAAGUGGGAAAUUUAAGAAAAGAUAUUGGAGAACCCGAGACUUGAGUCGGGAUUUGGUUAGCGAGCGAUCGAGAUACAGACGUUCGUUCUGGUGACCCGCUAGUGUAGGACACUUAUUCUGCUAUUCGGAGUGCUCCCUUUGAUCCGAAGCCCAUAUUUUUGGUACAUAUCUUCCAUUGUACAUAUUUCUAUAUGUAUGUAUGUAUGUAUGUAUAUGGCUAUUUGGGGUACGAUGGGGCCCUGUCCCGUCAUAUGUUUCUGUUAUGGUUUGUAGAGGCCUGUAGACAUAUAUGUGGGUCAUGGGUCACGUUUGUUCGAUUAUGUUUGUGAUUUGUGCCUUAAGCGUCCCCGUUUGCUAUUAUGGCCAAAACGGCCCAUAUGUUUGUAUAUGUAUGUGUAUCCGGGCGAUGUGUAUUCCGCCAGCCUAUCGGUUUUUGGUAUGA